GUGGCGAACGGGUGAGUAAUGUAUCGGAACGUGCCCAGUAGCGGGGGAUAACUACGCGAAAGCGUAGCUAAUACCGCAUACGCCCUACGGGGGAAAGCAGGGGAUCGCAAGACCUUGCACUAUUGGAGCGGCCGAUAUCGGAUUAGCUAGUUGGUGGGGUAACGGCUCACCAAGGCGACGAUCCGUAGCUGGUUUGAGAGGACGACCAGCCACACUGGGACUGAGACACGGCCCAGACUCCUACGGGAGGCAGCAGUGGGGAAUUUUGGACAAUGGGGGAAACCCUGAUCCAGCCAUCCCGCGUGUGCGAUGAAGGCCUUCGGGUUGUAAAGCACUUUUGGCAGGAAAGAAACGUCGCGGGUUAAUACCUCGCGAAACUGACGGUACCUGCAGAAUAAGCACCGGCUAACUACGUGCCAGCAGCCGCGGUAAUACGUAGGGUGCAAGCGUUAAUCGGAAUUACUGGGCGUAAAGCGUGCGCAGGCGGUUCGGAAAGAAAGAUGUGAAAUCCCAGAGCUUAACUUUGGAACUGCAUUUUUAACUACCGGGCUAGAGUGUGUCAGAGGGAGGUGGAAUUCCGCGUGUAGCAGUGAAAUGCGUAGAUAUGCGGAGGAACACCGAUGGCGAAGGCAGCCUCCUGGGAUAACACUGA
rnacentral:rRNA from 1 species